UACGUAGGGUGCGAGCGUUGCCCGGAUUUAUUGGGCGUAAAGGGGGCGUAGGCGGCCACGCACGUCCGUUGUGAAAUCGCCCGGCUCAACUGGGCGGGGUCAGCGGAUACGGUGUGGCUAGAGCAAGCUAGGGGGCAAUGGAAUUCCCGGUGUAGUGGUGGAAUGCGUAGAGAUCGGAAAGAACACCAACGGCGAAAGCACUCUGCUGGGCCGACACUGACACUGAGAGACGAAAGCUAGGGGAGCGAAUGGG
rnacentral:rRNA from 1 species